AUUGAACGCUGGCGGCAGGCCUAACACAUGCAAGUCGAGCGGAUGAAGGGAGCUUGCUCCUGGAUUCAGCGGCGGACGGGUGAGUAAUGCCUAGGAAUCUGCCUGGUAGUGGGGGAUAACGUCCGGAAACGGGCGCUAAUACCGCAUACGUCCUGAGGGAGAAAGUGGGGGAUCUUCGGACCUCACGCUAUCAGAUGAGCCUAGGUCGGAUUAGCUAGUUGGUGGGGUAAAGGCCUACCAAGGCGACGAUCCGUAACUGGUCUGAGAGGAUGAUCAGUCAAACUGGAAAUGAGAAAAGGUCCAGACCCCUACGGGAGGGAGCAGUGGGGAAUAUUGGACAAUGGGCGAAAGCCUGAUCCAGCCAUGCCGGGUGUGUGAAGAAGGUCUUCGGAUUGUAAAGCACUUUAAGUUGGGAGGAAGGGCAGUAAGUUAAUACCUUGCUGUUUUGACGUUACCAAAAGAAUAAGCACCGGCUAACUUCGUG
rnacentral:rRNA from 1 species